rnacentral:rRNA from 1 species
GACGAACGCUGGCGGCGUGCUUAACACAUGCAAGUCGAACGGAAAGGCCCUGCUUUUGUGGGGUGCUCGAGUGGCGAACGGGUGAGUAACACGUGAGUAACCUGCCCUUGACUUUGGGAUAACUUCAGGAAACUGGGGCUAAUACCGGAUAGGAGCUCCUGCUGCAUUGUGGGGGUUGGAAAGUUUCGGCGGUUGGGGAUGGACUCGCGGCUUAUCAGCUUGUUGGUGGGGUAGUGGCUUACCAAGGCUUUGACGGGUAGCCGGCCUGAGAGGGUGACCGGCCACAUUGGGACUGAGAUACGGCCCAGACUCCUACGGGAGGCAGCAGUGGGGAAGAUUGCACAAUGGGCGGAAGCCUGAUGCAGCAACGCCGCGUGCGGGAUGACGGCCUUCGGGUUGUAAACAGCGUUCGCCUGUGACGAAGCGUGAGUGACGGUAAUGGGUAAAGAAGCACCGGCUAACUACGUG